AGUCCCGUCCGCCUGACGACAACAUGGCGGCGGCGCGCCUCACGCUGCCGGGAGGAGUGGCCUCCUCCCUCGACGACGACGACAACAACAACAACACACACGCAGAGGGAGAGAGCAGGCUCGCAUCACAGGAGUGCUGCUAGAAGACCAGAGAGUGGCAAACGUUACUCAGAAGGGAAUAUGGCCAGCAACUGAAGAGUCCUAUUUGGAAACCAGGCUCCCUGACAUACAAGGAUGGCAGAGGAAGAGAGAAAGAGUGCCUGCAGCUGGAUGCUGCCUGGCCUGCUGAAUAUUUCCAAUAUUUCUCUAUUCAGAUUUCCAGCAUCUGCACUAUUUUGUUUUGGCUUGGAUAUAUUUUGUGAAGGCUAAUGUCUCCAUCUGUCAUAGGAAGAAAAUUAGAAGUAGAAAAGGGAAAGUGGUGUGGAGACACAGGAGACUGCAGAUAGUAGAAUCUGGAGCAAAAAACAAACUGCUAGAGGAACUCUGUCAAGAGCAAGUUGGGGAGGGGGGGGGUGCGGAAGGAAUUGUCAAUGUUUCAGGUCGAAAACUUCAUCAGGACCAGACUCAAAGAUAGCGUCUAUCCUGCUGUUACAAGACUCUUGAAUAGACCUCUUAUGCAAAAAGGAUGAAUUCUUGAUCUCUCAAUGUACGUCGUCAUGGCCCUUGCACUUUAUUUCUCUACCUGCACUGCACUCCCUCAGUAACUGUAAUACUAUAUUGUGCAUUUCAUUCCUUUUGUACUACCUUGAUGUACUUAUGUACAGAAUGAUCUGCCUGGAUGGUAUGCAAACAAAAGGUUUACACUGUAUCUCGGUACAUGUA